UCCUGGUUGAUUCUGCCAGUAGUCAUAUGCUUGUCUCAAAGAUUAAGCCAUGCAUGUCUAAGUAUAAGCAAUUAUACCGCGAAACUGCGACCGGCUCAUUAUAUAAGUUAUCGUUUAUUUGAUAGUACCUUACUACUUGGAUAACCGUGGUAAUUCUAGAGCUAAUACAUGCUAAAAAUCCCGACUUCGGAAGGGAUGUAUUUAUUAGAUUAAAAACCAAUGCCCUUCGGGGCUCACUGGUGAUUCAUGAUAACUCCUCGAAUCGCAUGGCCUUGUGCCGGCGAUGGUUCAUUCAAAUUUCUUCCCUAUCAACUUUCGAUGUUUGGGUAUUGGCCAAACAUGGUUGCAACGGGUAACGGAGGGUUAGGGCUCGACCCCGGAGAAGGAGCCUGAGAAACGGCUACUACAUCCAAGGAAGGCAGCAGGCGCGCAAAUUACCCAAUCCCGACACGGGGAGGUAGUGACAAUAAAUACUGAUACAGGGCUCUUUUGGGUCUUGUAAUUGGAAUGAGUACAAUUUAAAUCCCUUAACGAGGAACAAUUGGAGGGCAAGUCUGGUGCCAGCAGCCGCGGUAAUUCCAGCUCCAAUAGCGUAUAUUAAAGUUGUUGUGGUUAAAAAGCUCGUAGUUGAACCUUGGGCCUGGCUGGCCGGUCCGCCUCACCGCGUGUACUGGUCCGGCCGGGCCUUUCCCUCUGUGGAACCCCAUGCCCUUCACUGGGAAUGGCGGGGAAUCAGGACUCGUACUGUGAAAACCUUAGAGUGCUCCAGGCAGGCCUAUGCUCGAAUACAUUAGCAUGGAAUAAUAGAAUAGGACGUGUGGUUCUAUUUUGUUGGUUUCUAGGACCGCCGUAAUGAUUAAUAGGGACAGUCGGGGGCAUCAGUAUUCAAUUGUCAGAGGUGAAAUUCUUGGAUUUAUUGCUGACUAA
rnacentral:rRNA from 1 species